rnacentral:precursor_RNA from 1 species
CAUAUCUCAGGAGCUUUAACUUGCCCUUUAAUGGCUUUUACUCUUCUUUGGAUUGAAGGGAGCUCUACAUCUUCUUUCACCUUCUCUAUUUUUUAUUUUUCUUUAUUUCUACUCAACAAUUAUUUAUUCGGAUUCAUCUUUAAUUUUCCGUUAUAAUUUCUUUUUGGUAAGGAUUAUUCGCUAUAAUUUGAGAAUUAUAUGGUUAUUAUUUUGAUUCCGAAGCAAUGUUUAGCGUGUUAUUUGUUUUUCUUGUAAAAAACUAGGGUUUAUGCAACUGCCUCGGGUAGAUGAGAAGAUCCUUGGUUCUUUGGAGACUUUUAAAUUUUGCAAUCUUUGCUGCCAUAUGCACUGACUAUCUUUGUAUGAUUAUUCUCAUAUCUAAUCUAACAACUAAAUCCUGUUCUACAA